UACGUAGGGUGCAAGCGUUGUCCGGAAUUAUUGGGCGUAAAGAGCUCGUAGGCGGUUUGUCGCGUCUGCUGUGAAAACCCGAGGCUCAACCUCGGGCCUGCAGUGGGUACGGGCAGACUAGAGUGCGGUAGGGGAGAUUGGAAUUCCUGGUGUAGCGGUGGAAUGCGCAGAUAUCAGGAGGAACACCGGUGGCGAAGGCGGCUCUCUGGUCCAUUACUGACGCUGAGGUGCGAAAGCUAGGGGAGCAAACGGG
rnacentral:rRNA from 1 species